rnacentral:lncRNA from 1 species
UUAAGCAUUAGCACAACCUUUAUUCUAGCCUACCAUUUAUUUUUCGAUUGGAAACAAACUCUCUGCCCUUUCGGGCAGGAGUAAGGCCCGUCUACAUAUUACCCUCCCCAGACCCCACUGUGUGGGAUUAUACUGGGUUGUUGGAACUGCAGGUUAAAAGUGUGAAGGAAACUCUAGUUCAGGUUGGGAAGAAAACAACAGGUG